GAGAAGCAAAGUGGAAAAACAUAAGCACAGCAGGGAAGGGGAAUGAGAAGAGACAGGUCCCCACAUCCCAGGCAGGGGACAAAAGACAUGGCAGGAUCAAACGGGUUGAUCCUGACAUUUUAGCAUGAU